rnacentral:lncRNA from 1 species
GGGAUCUGAACCUGAGACCUUGGACUGCAGAGACCCUUCCCACUGUAAUGACCACCCUGACUCCAGACUCUAGCAAAAGGACGUGACAGCAAGCCAUGGAGGCAGCCUUAUAUUCUCUCUUCUCUGAGCCUCCAGGUCACCCUGCCAAGGUUCUCUGAGGGGGAGCCCAUUGUUUUUCUGAGUAUUUUUAGGUUGGCCCAGUGACAAGGCAUUGAUGUGAGGUCAUCUGUGGUGGAGGAGAGAUGAAAGUGAAGGAAUUCAGAGCCUAAAACCCGCUGAAAUUCAGGCCUUUCCCUUCUGGAGGGCAGCAGGAGCCAUCAUGGGAGCAGACAGCCCAGGAGAGCCAUUCCAGCCCACUCAGAGUUUCAUCAGAAUCUGCUCCCAGGAGAAGCUCCUGCCAGCCGCUCUUUCCCAUCCUCCAGAAAAGCCCCCUCCAGCUCCUGAGGCCCACAGUUCUCUGGCAGCAGGCAGGCCCAGGCAGGAGGACUAUGCUAUUUCUUGUGCCAUGGGAGGAGAUAAGGAACCCAAGACCCAGGAGGGUUAAGAAAUUUGCUGAAAGUAAUAAUGGCAUCCAGAGUGAAAUGAACAGAACUAAGAGAACUGCUGUAUGCAGUAACAGCAAUAUUGUUAGAAGACUAAUUGAAUGACUAAGCUAUUCUGAAUAAUAUGAAUAUUCAAAUCAACUAUGAAGGACUUAUGAAGGAAAAUGUUAUCCUCCUACAGAGAAAGAACUGAUAUAUGGGAGUAGGUAUUCUACGACUCCAUAGAUUUAUCACUAUCAAAUAUUGGCCUUCUCUAAUGCAGGGCUGGGAGGGAAGAAGGGAGACAAUUCAGAACACAAAAUGUAACAAAUAUAUGUGUGUGUGUGUGUAUGUGUGUGUGUGUGUGUGUAUCUUUUAAAAAGGGAAAUUCAAACAAACAAACAAACGAGGGCUGGCUCAGUGGAUAGAUACUAUGCCUGGAAUCAGGAAGAGUCAACUUUCUUAGUUCCAAUCUGGCCUCAGACAUUUUCUAGAUCUGUAGCCCUGGGCAAGUCAUUUAAGUUUGUUUCCUCAUCUAUUUUAAGGUAGAAAAGGGAUAGAAAACCAGACCAUUAACGAAAGAAAGAAAGAAAGAAAGAAAGAAAGAAAGAAAGAAAGAAAGAAAGAAAGAAAGAAAGAAAGAAGAAGAAAGAACAAAGAAAGAAAGAAAGAAAGAAAGAAAGAAGAAAGAAGAAGAAGAAGGAAGGAAAGAAAGAAAGAAAGAAAGAAAGGAAGAAGGAAGAAGAAGGAAGAAGAAAAGAGAGAGAGAAGAGAGAGAGGGAGAGAAAAGAGAUAGAGAAAGAGAGA